rnacentral:rRNA from 1 species
AGAGUUUGAUCCUGGCUCAGAACGAACGUUGGCGGCGUGGAUUAGGCAUGCAAGUCGAACGAGAACGUCACCUUCGGGUGGCUAGUAAAGUGGCGAACGGGUGAGUAUCGCGUGGAAACCUGCCCUCGAGUUGGGGAUAACACUCCCAACGGAAUGCUAAUACCGAAUAAGACCACGGUGUCGCAUGGCACUGAGGUCAAAGGUGGCCUCUACUUGUAAGCUACCGCUUGAGGAUGGUUCCGCGUCCCAUUAGCUUGUUGGUAGGGUAAUGGCCUACCAAGGCUGCGAUGGGUAGCUGGUCUGAGAGGAUGGUCAGCCACACUGGGACUGAGAUACGGCCCAGACUCCUACGGGAGGCAGCAGUCGAGAGGCUUCGGCAAUGGGGGAAACCCUGACCGAGCGACGCCGCGUGGGCGAUGAAGGUCGUAAGAUUGUAAAGCCCUGUCAGGAGGGAAGAAAUGCGGGGAGUCAAACAGGCUUUCCGUUUGACGGUACCUCCAGAGGAAGCUCCGGCUAACUCCGUGCCAGCAGCCGCGGUAAUACGGGGGGAGCAAACGUUGUUCGGAAUUACUGGGCGUAAAGGGCGAGUAGGCGGGCCGGUAAGUGGAAUGUGAAAGGCCCUGGCUCAACCAGGGACGUGCAUUCCAAACUGCCAGUCUUGAGUACAGGAGAGGAUGGGGGAAUUCCCGGUGUAGCGGUGGAAUGCAUUGAUAUCGGGAGGAACACCAGUGGCGAAGGCGCCCAUCUGGCCUGAUACUGACGCUGAUUCGCGAAAGCUAGGGGAGCAAACAGGAUUAGAUACCCUGGUAGUCCUAGCCGUAAACGGUGAGCACUAGGUGUAGGAGGCAUCGACCCCUCCUGUGCCGCAGCUAACGCAUUAAGUGCUCCGCCUGGGGAGUACGACCGCAAGGUUGAAACUCAAAGGAAUUGACGGGGGCCCGCACAAGCGGUGGAGCAUGUGGUUUAAUUCGAUGCAACGCGAAGAACCUUACCCAGGUUUGACAUGCACCGGACAGGUGUGGAAACACAUUUUCCCUUCGGGGUCGGUGCACAGGUGCUGCAUGGCUGUCGUCAGCUCGUGUCGUGAGAUGUUGGGUUAAGUCCCGCAACGAGCGCAACCCUUGUCCUUAGUUGCCAUCAAGUGAAGUUGGGCACUCUAGGGAGACUGCCGUCGAUAAGGCGGAGGAAGGUGGGGAUGACGUCAAGUCCUCAUGGUCCUUACGCCUGGGGCUACACACGUGCUACAAUGGCUGGUACAAUGGGUUGCAAUGCCGCGAGGUGGAGCUAAUCUCAAAAAACCAGUCUCAGUUCGGAUUGCAGUCUGCAACUCGACUGCAUGAAGGCGGAAUCGCUAGUAAUCGCUGAUCAGCAGGCAGCGGUGAA